rnacentral:pre_miRNA from 1 species
UGCACUGUGGGAUGAGGUAGUAGGUUGUAUAGUUUUACGGUCAUACCCGCACUGGGAGAUAACUAUUAAACCUACUGUCUUUCCCAAAG